GACGAACGCUGGCGGCGUGCUUAACACAUGCAAGUCGAACGGAGAGGCCCUUCGGGGUCCUCGAAUGGCGAACGGGUGAGUAACAAGUGGGUGAUCUACCCUGCACUUUGGGUUAAGUCAGGGAAACUGGGUCUAAUACCGAAUAGGACCACGCGGCUCCCGGUGUGUGGUGGAAAGCUUUUGCGGUGUGGGAUGGGCCCGCGGCCUAUCAGCUUGUUGGUGGGGUAAUGGCCUACCAAGGCGACGACGGGUAGCCGGCCUGAGAGGGUGACCGGCCACACUGGGACUGAGAUACGGCCCAGACUCCUACGGGAGGCAGCAGUGGGGAAUAUUGCACAAUGGGCGCAAGCCUGAUGCAGCGACGCCGCGUGAGGGAUGACGGCCUUCGGGUUGUAAACCUCUUUCAGUAGGGACGAAGCGAAAGUGACGGUACCUAUAGAAGAAGCGCCGGCCAACUACGUG
rnacentral:rRNA from 1 species